GACGAACGCUGGCGGUGUGCUUAACACAUGCAAGUCGAACGGUAAGGCCCUUCGGGGUACACGAGUGGCGAACGGGUGAGUAGCACGUGGGUGAUCUGCCCUGCACUUCGGGAUAAGCCUGGGAAACUGGGUCUAAUACCGGAUAGGACCACUGCCUGCAUGGGUGGUGGUGGAAAGCUUUUGCGGUGUGGGAUGGGCCCGCGGCCUAUCAGCUUGUUGGUGGGGUGAUGGCCUACCAAGGCGACGACGGGUAGCCGGCCUGAGAGGGUGACCGGCCACACUGGGACUGAGAUACGGCCCAGACUCCUACGGGAGGCAGCAGUGGGGAAUAUUGCACAAUGGGCGCAAGCCUGAUGCAGCGACGCCGCGUGAGGGAUGACGGCCUUCGGGUUGUAAACCUCUUUCAGCACCGACGAAGCGCAAGUGACGGUAGGUGCAGAAGAAGGACCGGCCAACUACGUGCCAGCCGCCGCGGUAA
rnacentral:rRNA from 1 species